rnacentral:lncRNA from 1 species
AAAAAGAUUCGUCCUCGAAUCUGAAAAAUCAAAUGAACUCGACUUUCCUCUAUCGAACGGGACUAAUGGCAAUUGAGUCCACUGAAAAGAAUAGCCAUGAGAUAGUAAAUAGCAACGGAAACAAGCUUGUAGUCCAAUCAUAAGCAUAACAGAACAGGUAUAACGCAUGUGAAUGGACAGAUUCAGAUUACCAUGCAAACAAUCUAAUUUACUCACCACUGCCUCGUCAAAUAUUUGAAACAAAGAUGGACAUGUUUUAAGGCAUUCAGUCGUCUCACAUUGUUCUCACAAACCAUGAAUAAAUUGCGAGUAAUAAAUCAAAUGGUAAACAUAAUCGUCACAAGUAGGUAUUUGAAAAGAUUCACAUGGUUCACAGAGUUGCAUAAUCAUACCAUGCAUUAAUCGACGGUCUAUAGAUUCACUCACACAUGCAUUAUCAAAAACAAGAAUCUUUUUAUCAACCAUCAAAACAGAUAGAAUAAAUAAAAUAGGACAGUCAAGCACGUUUCGAUCUAAGUGUUCAUCAACACGAUCUUUAUCACUAUCCGAGGAGUACAAAAGUGUUUCAAAGGUUUCAAGCAUCUUAACUUGAUAAGCAGAAGAAUAAGGGUCGAUUUUACCUUUUUCAUUUAAAACA